rnacentral:rRNA from 1 species
AUUGAACGCUGGCGGCAGGCCUAACACAUGCAAGUCGAACGGUAGCACAGAGAGCUUGCUCUCGGGUGACGAGUGGCGGACGGGUGAGUAAUGUCUGGGAAACUGCCUGAUGGAGGGGGAUAACUACUGGAAACGGUAGCUAAUACCGCAUAACGUCGCAAGACCAAAGGGGGGGACCUUCGGGCCGCUUGCCAUCAGAUGUGCCCAGAUGGGAUUAGCUAGGGGGUGGGGUAACGGCUCACCUAGGCGACGAUCCCUAGCUGGUCUGAGAGGAUGACCAGCCACACUGGAACUGAGACACGGUCCAGACUCCUACGGGGGGCAGCAGUGGGGAAUAUUGCACAAUGGGCGCAAGCCUGAUGCAGCCAUGCCGCGUGUAUGAAGAAGGCCUUCGGGUUGUAAAGUACUUUCUGCGAGGAGGAAGGCGAUACGGUUAAUAACCGUGUCGAUUGACGUUACUCGCAGAAGAAGCACCGGCUAACUCCGUGCCAGCAGCCGCAGUAA